GACGAACGCUGGCGGCGUGCCUAAUACAUGCAAGUCGAACGCAGUGGGGACGGGUGAGUAACACGUGGGUAACCGCCCAUCAGAGGGGAUAACACUUGGAAACAGGUGCUAAACCGAUACGGAUUGCUGGACCCGCGGUGGAUUAGCUAGUGGGAGGGGUAACGGCUCACCAAGGCCACGAUGCAUAGCGGGCCUUGGAGGGUGACCAGCCACACUGGAACUGAGACACGGCCCAGACUCCUACGGGAGGCAGCAGUAGGGAAUCUUGGGCAAGGGACGAAAGUCUGACCGAGCAACGCCGCGUGAGGGAAGAAGGUUUUCGGAUCGUAAAACACUGUUGUUAGAGAAGCGGUAUCUAACCAGAAAGCACCGGCUAACUACGUGCCAGCAGCCGCGGUAAUUC
rnacentral:rRNA from 1 species